AUUGAACGCUGGCGGCAUGCCUUACACAUGCAAGUCGAACGGUAACAGGUCUUCGGAUGCUGACGAGUGGCGCACGGGUGAGUAAUACAUCGGAACGUGCCCAGACGUGGGGGAUAACGAGGCGAAAGCUUUGCUAAUACCGCAUACGAUCUAAGGAUGAAAGCAGGGGACCGCAAGGCCUUGCGCGUUUGGAGCGGCCGAUGGCAGAUUAGGUAGUUGGUGGGAUAAAAGCUUACCAAGCCGACGAUCUGUAGCUGGUCUGAGAGGACGACCAGCCACACUGGGACUGAGACACGGCCCAGACUCCUACGGGAGGCAGCAGUGGGGAAUUUUGGACAAUGGGCGAAAGCCUGAUCCAGCAAUGCCGCGUGCAGGAUGAAGGCCUUCGGGUUGUAAACUGCUUUUGUACGGAAAGAAAAGGCUCUGGCUAAUACCUGGGGCACAUGACGGUACCGUAAGAAUAAGCACCGGCUAACUACGUG
rnacentral:rRNA from 1 species